rfam:Selaginella moellendorffii unplaced genomic scaffold SELMOscaffold_4, whole genome shotgun sequence.
UUGCCUUAAACUAAUGAGUAAGGAAAACAAAGCAAUGGGUCAAUGCCCGUUGCCACGCCUCCGUGCGUGAGCUAUUUUUGGAGGGUUUAUAGGCUGGCCUUGGGUUGACGCUGCUUACUUUGCAGAACUCCCUUGAGCGGGCCUCCUAAACC